AUCCUUUCUGAAGGCUUGUUCUACGCUCGAGCUGAAAGCACUGCAACAUGGACCAGCAAUGAAGUUUCUAAUCAACCUGAUGCUGCUGGUGCUUCAGAGCUGCACAAGAAUCAACAUUUGAAAACUGAGAACAAAUAUUUCAACCACAGAGCUGCUUCUCCUUCAGAUCUGUAGAAAUGGCUGAUGUUUUCAGAGGCCUGAACCUCCUUGAGACCCUCAAGGAGUCCAUAGAGAGCAAUAAGUUAUCAGAUGUCAAGGAUGCAGUGGAAGAUCUCCUGAUCAGCAGGAUCAACUUAGCUGUGGUGGGGAACCGUGGGGAUGAAAAAGCCACCUUCAUAAACUCCCUCCGUGGCCUCGGUCCUGGGGAUGAUGGUGCAGCUCCGUCUCCGUCCCCUGUUGCCCCGGAGGACGUGGCAGGCUACCCUAACCCUAAACACCCUGACUUUCGCUUGUGGGAUCUGCCACCUGUCCCAUCCACCUCUCCAUUUGAACCUGAGGGAUACAUGGAUAGAGUUAAGUUCCUCCGCUACAAUGCCGUCUUCAUGACAUUUACACAGACACCCCAACCCAACAGUGUGGAGGUGUUCUUGGAGGCCCGGUCACUGCAGCGACAAACAGUGUACUUUAUUCUCUUUGCUUUAGCAAAAGACACAGAAAAAAGCCUAGAAGAAAAGAGGAAAGCCAGUCUGGAAGUACUGACAUCACAGGGUGUGGCACAGCCUAAAGUCUACCUGGUGAGACCCUCCACCCUGGAGAAGUUUGACUUCCCCGGCCUGUUGGAGGACAUGGGAAGAGACCUUCCAGAGAUCCGAGCGCAUGCCCUUCUCUUAGCUCUACCGACACUAACCUCCAAUUUGGUCAGUCAGAAAAAGGAGGCAUUCAAAGCACUAGUAUGGGCAGCUGCCUCGCUAUCUGGUGGGGUGUCAGCUAUUCCUGUUCCCCUUGUGGCCUCCAUGGUGGACUCAAGUGUAGCAGUGCGGAUUCUAACCAAAGCACAAUUAUCUCUGUGCUUGGACGAAGAAUCGGUCGAGCGACUGGCUCGACAGCGAGGCAUGGAACCCACAAGACUUAAAGGGCUGCGGACUUGUGUAUUGUCAGUGGAGGUCACUAAAGGUGAAGUGAAAAAGCGGCUGGCGGCAGCAGAAAAGGAGUUGGCCACGGUUUCGUCAACGCUGGUGGAGAUGGCGAUGCCCAGACAUGCCCGUUCUGCCAGCCGCUCCUUCACUGCCAUGCUGCAAGCCUUAAAUGUUGCCAUUGAUGAAAUGGCGGCUGAUGCUGAGAAGACAGUGGCUGCUGCUCUUGGGGAGAGGAAGUGAAGUUGAAUGUUUUUCUCUUUGGAAGGGAUGGUAUGUGCAACAGACUACAAUAAGUGGAUCCUCUGAGACAUCAAGCCUUAGUGCCACACGAAGAUGAAUGCUCAGA